rnacentral:rRNA from 1 species
AACGAACGCUGGCGGCACGCCUAACACAUGCAAGUCGAACGAGACCUUCGGGUCUAGUGGCGCACGGGUGCGUAACGCGUGGGAACCUGCCCUUAGGUUCGGCAUAACUCCCCGAAAGGGGUGCUAAUACCGGAUAAUGUCUUCGGACCAAAGAUUUAUCGCCUUUGGAUGGGCCCGCGUUGGAUAAGCUAGUUGGUAGGGUAAAAGCCUACCAAGGCGACGAUCCAUAGCUGGUCUGAGAGGAUGAUCAGCCACACUGGGGCUGAGACACGGCCCAGACUCCUACGGGAGCGAGCAGAGGGGAAAAUUGGACAGGGAGAAAAGCCGUAAGCCGGCCAUGCCCCGUGAGUGAUGAAGGCCUUAGGGUUGUAGAGCUCUUUGACCCGGGACAAUAAUGACAGUCCCGGGAAAAAGGGCGGCCACGAACUGCGU